rnacentral:misc_RNA from 1 species
CAACUAAGGCUCCAUUCUGGCCUGCUGGAGUUGACGGUAAUCGACCACCUGCCAAGAUACCCAUUCCACUGCCCUUGAAUCAUUUAACGAAGAGUGAUGAGUCAAUGGGUCGGCCGCUACAGUUAAGUGAACAGGGACAAAUUCUUGAGCUGGCUAUUGAGGCAGCAGCAAAUGCGAUUAUUGAUCUUAGAGACAGUUUAAAUGAAUGGGAUAGCAAAGUAGGCGAUGGUGACUGUGGUUCAACGAUGGAUAGAGGUGCAACAGCAAUUCUAGAGGACAUGAA